rnacentral:rRNA from 1 species
UACGUAGGGGGCAAGCGUUGUCCGGAAUUAUUGGGCGUAAAGGGCGCGUAGGCGGAUAGUUAAGUCCGGUGUGAAAGAUCAGGGCUCAACCCUGAGAGUGCAUUGGAAACUGGUUAUCUUGAGGACAGGAGAGGAAAGUGGAAUUCCACGUGUAGCGGUGAAAUGCGUAGAUAUGUGGAGGAACACCAGUGGCGAAGGCGACUUUCUGGACUGUAACUGACGCUGAGGCGCGAAAGCGUGGGGAGCAAACAGG